UCGGGAAUUUUGGGCAAUGGGCGAAAGCCUGACCCAGCAACGCCGCGUGAAGGAUGAAGUAUUUCGGUAUGUAAACUUCGAAAGAAUAGGAAGAAUAAAUGACGGUACUAUUUAUAAGGUCCGGCUAACUACGUGCCAGCAGCCGCGGUAAUACGUAGGGACCAAGCGUUGUUCGGAUUUACUGGGCGUAAAGGGCGCGUAGGCGGCAAUUCAAGUCAUCUGUGAAAUCUCCGGGCCUAACUCGGAACGGUCAGAUGAUACUGCUUUGCUAGAGUGCAGAAGGGGCAAUCGGAAUUCUUGGUGUAGCGGUGAAAUGCGUAGAUAUCAAGAGGAACACCUGAGGUGAAGACGGGUUGCUGGGCUGACACUGACGCUGAGGCGCGAAAGCCAGGGGAGCAAACGGGAUUAGAUACCCACGUAGUCCCUGAGCGGGCUGGCAAGGCGCAU
rnacentral:rRNA from 1 species